rnacentral:lncRNA from 1 species
AUAUAUAUACAGAUUGCUUAAGGGAAGGGAUCCCCAUUUUUUGAAAAAAAUGGGGAUUAGGUGUGGGGCCCACUCCACAUCGAAUUUCAACGAUCCGAACCGUCUAUUUUGUUAGUCUCGAUUCAUAGAUCAUCCUUGCAAAAAUUCAAUUCAAUCCAAAACCGUUUGCCUAUUUAAUUAUCAAGAUCAAAUUUCAUUUUUUCUUAUAUAACAAAGUAUUCGUUCAUUUCCUUGAACCCAAUUAGAUGUCUUAAACAUUUCCG